CAAUAGCGUAUAUUAAAGUUGUUGCAGUUAAAAAGCUCGUAGUUGGAUUUGUGGCGUACGGUGUGUUCCGGGCACUUGUUGUCUGAGUAACCUGCUGUUGCCAUCCUUGGGUGGAACCUGUGUGGCAUUAGGUUGUCGUGCAGGGGAUGCCCAUCAUUUACUGUGAAAAAAUUAGAGUGUUCAAAGCAGGCUUAUGCCGUUGAAUAUAUUAGCAUGGAAUAAUGAGAUAGGACUUUUUUGCUAUUUUGUUGGUUUGCGCAAGAAGGUAAUGAUUAAUAGGGACAGUUGGGGGUAUUCGUAUUCCAUUGUCAGAGGUGAAAUUCUUGGAUUUUUGGGAGACGAACUACUGCGAAAGCAUUUACCAAGGAUGUUUUCAUUAA
rnacentral:rRNA from 1 species